AGGUGAAGGGGAGGAGUUGGAAAUUGGAGGGAGCCCGAGGGGAAAAACAACGAGAGUGGAGGCAGCGGUGAAACGAUAGUUAGCUUGUUAGCUAUCUAGUUAAAGGAGAGGUAAAAGUUUACCUACUCGGUAAACAAAGCUCUCUAAUGUUCUGACUGGUCGAUAAACUGGGAAUUAUGAGGACACUGACGUUUAAACCGAAGAGCGCUUGUGUAUAUUAUGUUUUUUAAAGAGUUUUCAAACCAAGUUCUGUUGGCUCAUUAGCGUUAGCUUAGCCAGUCCCGCUAGCUAGCUAAUUUAUUAACCUAGCUACAGGUGUGUUUGCUCGCCUGCCGCAUGUAAAGACCGAUGUGUUGGAUAAAACAAGCAAAAUGACUGUUUCUUCUGAACUAGCUGGAAACAGAAGCUGUUAAACUUUUACUCAGAUAGCGCUCAGAGUCUCCGAGCGGCUUUUAGGGGGAAAGCUCCAGUACGACACGCGCUCAGCGACGCCAACCUGAGGUUCCCGGAGCAGCUCAGAUCCCCCCCCCUCUCCACCAGUUAACCGAGGGCUCUUCCAUCAGAGAGCUGGAGAGCUGGAAGACCACCAGUCUCCUAAGGAACAGGUUCAGUGUCAGUCACGUGCAGGGUGCUGCCACUAGGGGUCAGUGUGAGAGAGGAAGAUUACCUGUGGCGGCAGCGGCGCAGGAAACGCAUAAUCUUGCGGGCGGCCUGGUCCUGUCUCUUAGUGAGCAAACUACUUCUGAAACAGCACAAAACGGAACAAGACAAAAGAAAAAUAAUGACUGCAGUGGCUAGGGCUACCUGAGUUUGUGCUGCACCAGGGCGGAGGCGGAGCUGCGUCUGUGGGGCCGGAGCCGGCGGAACUCUCUGUAGCUGCGGUAGUAUUGCUGGAUCAGCACGGCCGCCCGCCGACUCUGCUGGAACUUCUUCUGCUCGUGAUAACUCCGGAACUUACUCUGGAUAAGGAUGGCGGCCUGCGUCAUCUUCUUAUAAAGUGCAUACUGUCACACAGCAGAGGGACGCAGAGUCAGGGCUGAGAGCCAAAGUGAAUUUUCCACACAGAACAGCAUAAACAGAGAGCACUUAAGUUGUAAUGUAAACUAGAAAGUUUUGAUUAAAUUUAAAUUACAGUAUAGAAAUGAAUUUAACUUUGCUAUGAUACAGAUUAAUUUUUCAUAAAUAAAAUGGUCUUAAUGCAGCUGUUAUACCACUUGCCGGUUUUACAGACUUUUUACACAAAGCUUCUAGUGUCUUCUUAAACAGGGAUGUGUUACCUUCAAGGCUAUCCAUGUUAGCUUGGAAAAGAAGAGAAGAUUGAUGUAAGAUUAGAUACAGAAUGACUGGAGGCUAUUAGGCAUGCUGGUUCAGGGUGUGGGAUAGAUGGAAGUGAUAUGAACGAGCUCUUGUGGGAAAGGUAACAAAUUUGUCAUGGUCAUGAAAAAACCUUGAAAUUUUACCUUCAGUUAAAAUGAAAAAUUGGGGGAAAAAAAACGUUCCUGAUAAAUGGACCAAUAGUAAUACUCCAAAUCUAGGUUGAGGGGUUUCUUUCACCAGGUAUGUUUUUUUUUUUUUUUUGCAUGACAGAAACAAAAAGGACUCGUAAGUAGCCCUAAAAACAAUUCUUUGACUUGUAACCAUAGUACCCCUGUCAUGUAAGAGAAAGAAAAAAAGUAGUUGUUUGAGUGUUUAUGUUGAUCCAUAUAUAUCUUUUUUUUCAUAAUAUAAAGAACAACUUGUAUGAUUAGGGACCUAUGCAAUAUAUACUUCUAAAAUCCCCUAAUUCUGUUUCAGAUUUUUAGUUUUGGCAUUUAUGUCUGAAUAGAAUAAAAUGAAAUUAAAUCUAAUUCUGUCUACCGCGUUCUUCACAUCGCAGAAAUCCUAGAGCCCUACAUAUUUAAAUUAU